AAAGGAAGACGGGGUCAUUCCAGUGUACUGAUUACCACUAGUUCAGGACCACACUUACUAGUGGUGGGUGGAUCACCUGCCCAUGAUGUAUGGUUACUGGACAUUAACAAAAGAAAAUGGAAAGAACUGACUAAUCUACCAGACAAUGUCACUAACAGACACUGGCAUUCUCUCUCAGUGUGGAGUGUGACCCCAACUACUAACUGGAUAAUUGAAUUUGGAGGAGCUAGAAAGAGGCAAUUACACAACAUUAAGUGAUACAGCAGUUAUUGAACUCAGAUAUACUAGUGAUAAUGAUUGGUCUACUAGUGUAAUACCUCUGUACCAGUAUCAAGAUCAACUAAGAAGAAGGAUACUGAGCGAUUGGGAGAAUUUAGGAUUAAGCAAAGAGGUUCAAUUACUCAGAGGGCACCUACAAGAAAGAGAGAGAGAGUUCUAUCAAGAAAAGGCAACACUUACUCAGCAACUAGUUGAUGCUUUUCUCCUUGAGCAUGCAGAAAAGGAUAAAUCAACUGUUGAAUUAGAUUUUGACAAGCUUAAAGCUAAAGUUGCUGAUAAUGAAG